UACGUAGGGCGCAGGCGUUGUCCGGAAUCAUUGGGCGUAAAGCGCGCGUAGGUGGCCCGGUAAGUCCGCUCUGAAAGUCACAGGCUCAACCUGUGAAAGCGGGUGGAUACUGCCGGGCUAGAGUCCGGAAGAGGCGAGUGGAAUUCCUGGUGUAGCGGUGGAAUGCGCAGAUAUCAGGAGGAACACCAACGGCGAAGGCGACAUCCUGGACCAUUACUGACACUGAAAAGCGAAAGCCAGGGGAGCAAACGGG
rnacentral:rRNA from 1 species